rnacentral:lncRNA from 1 species
GCUGGUGUCAGCUGUCCUGAGGCUGAAAUUGUGCAGAUUUCCUUUGUCCUUUCCAGGGUGGUGUCAGCUGUGUAGCAGGAGUCCAGCAUAUGAAAGGGGAAGAAAAGUGUCAAUUUCUACACUAAUGAAUAAUUACAGCUAUGGGGGCUGGUCUUGGGGAGGAAUGAAGCACUUAUAAAAGGGGCUUUGCUCAGGUGAGGUAUCACACAAGUAGAAGCAAUUAUACUACAGCACAUCCCUGGUGUUUCUGUUGUGUCUGAGCCAUACCAGGGCUGGGGCAGGUGUGACUCCUCAUUUCAGAACCUACUUUUGUCUUGGUUUUACAAACCAGGCCUUCUCUAACCUGUGUGAGAUUGAAAAUGUGAUAAUUUAAAAAUGUUCUUUCUUCCCUGUUUUGCUCCUUCCCUCAGGUUCACGGGUCUCAAGGGACGUUAAGGGUGGACAACCAGAACCCCCUGGGCAUCACAGAGCAUGGGACUUCUGUGUCCAUCUGUCCCCAGACCCAAGCUGAGCGCUACAGAGAUGCAUACAGGGAGCUCUUCCGGCACUUCCUGAGGACCCUGAAAGGCCAGGAGCCCCCCGUGGUCACCAAGGAGCAGCUCCUCUGGACCAUCCAGGUCGCUGCAGCAGCCGAGCAGUCCUGGAGGAACAGAUCUGCUGUGGACUUGCACAGCGGUGCCACGGAUCCGCCCGGGGUCAAGGCUGAGCUCGUGUGACAGCCACUCCCACCCAG